rnacentral:rRNA from 1 species
CUGGGGGAAGAACCCUGAGCGGGUUAAGAGCCCGUUCAGCUUGACGGUACCCCAGGAGAAAGCCACGGCUAACUGCGUGCCAGCAGCCGCGGUAAUACGCAGGUGGCGAGCGUUGCCCGGAAUCACUGGGCGUAAAGGGUGCGUAGGCGGCAGGGCAAGUCGCAGGUUAAAGCCCGGGGCUCAACCCCGGAAAGGCCUGCGAUACUGCCUUGCUUGAGGGCCGGAGAGGCUGGCGGAAUUCCCGGUGUAGGGGUGAAAUCCGUAGAUAUCGGGAGGAACACCGGUGGGGAAGCCGGCCAGCUGGACGGUCCCUGACGCUGAGGCACGAAAGCGUGGGGAGCAAACCGGAUUAGAUACCCGGGUAGUCCACGCCGUAAAC